rnacentral:rRNA from 1 species
UACGUAUGGUGCAAGCGUUAUCCGGAUUUACUGGGUGUAAAGGGAGCGCAGGCGGCACGGCAAGCCUGAUGUGAAAGCCCGCGGCCCAACCGCGGGACUGCAUUGGGAACUACCGGGCUGGAGUGCCGGAAAGGUAGGCGGAAUUCCUAGUGUAGCGGUGAAAUGCGUAGAUAUUAGAAGGAACACCAGUGGCGAAGGCGGCCUACUGGACGGUGACUGACGCUGAGGCUCGAAAGCGUGGGGAGCAAACAGG